AAUGAACGCUGGCGGCAGGCCUAAAACAUGCAAGUCGAACGCCCUAGCAAUAGGGAGUGGCGCACGGGUGAGUAGCAUGUGGGAAUAUGCCUUUUGGUACGGAACAACGUUUGGAAACGAACGCUAAUACCGUAUGGUCCCUCCGGGGUAAAGAUUUAUCGCCAAAAGAUUAGCCCGCACUAGAUUAGCUAGUUGGUAAGGUAAUGGCUUACCAAGGCGACGAUCUAUAGCUGUUCUGAGAGGAAGAUCAGCCACACUGGGACUGAGACACGGCCCAGACUCCUACGGGAGGCAGCAGUUAGGAAUAUUGGACAAUGGGCGCAAGCCUGAUCCAGCCAUGCCGCGUGAGUGAUGAAGGCCUUCGGGUUGUAAAGCUCUUUAGCCGACGAAUAUAAUGACUGUAGUCGGAGAAUAAGCCCCGGCUAACUUCGUGCCAGCAGCCGCCGUAACAC
rnacentral:rRNA from 1 species